rnacentral:rRNA from 1 species
UACGAAGGGGGCUAGCGUUGCUCGGAAUGACUGGGCGUAAAGGGCGCGUAGGCGGUUUGUACAGUCAGGUGUUGAAAUUCCCGGGCUCAACCUGGGGGCUGCACUUGAUACGUAGGAACUUGAGUGGGGAAGAGGGUCGUGGAAUUCCCAGUGUAGAGGUGAAAUUCGUAGAUAUUGGGAAGAACACCGGUGGCGAAGGCGGCGACCUGGUCCUUGACUGACGCUGAGGCGCGAAAGCGUGGGGGAGCAAACAGGG